GAUGUUUCUCUUAGUUUUGUGCAACACUGGGAACAACUCCAUCCUGUGCAUUCGACUGCAUCACUGAGCUCGGCCCUAUAUGUAAUGCAGAGAAAAUCUGGAUGCACAUUGAUGCUGCAUAUGCUGGGAGUGCAUUUAUCUGUCCAGAGUUCAGACCCCUGCUGAAUGGCGUAGAGUUCGCAGACUCUUUCAAUUUCAAUCCUCAUAAAUGGCUCCUGGUCAACUUUGACUGCUCUGCAAUGUGG